rnacentral:rRNA from 1 species
CAGUCGCCGCGGUAAUACGAAGGGGGCUAGCGUUGUUCGGAAUUACUGGGCGUAAAGCGCACGUAGGCGGACAUUUAAGUCAGGGGUGAAAUCCCGGGGCUCAACCCCGGAACUGCCUUUGAUACUGGGUGUCUAGAGUAUGGAAGAGGUGAGUGGAAUUCCGAGUGUAGAGGUGAAAUUCGUAGAUAUUCGGAGGAACACCAGUGGCGAAGGCGGCUCACUGGUCCAUUACUGACGCUGAGGUGCGAAAGCGUGGGGAGCAAACAGGAUUAGAUACCCCAGUAGUCCCUGUCUCUUAUAC